AGGGGUACGUAUGUGCACCACCACCUGUGUGACAGUGGUCCAGCAAUUGCUUGUUCACCCAAUGAAAUUUGAAGAUGAAAAUGUACUGCUCAUCUUCAAAGAAUCUAUCCUCCUGGUAUGGAAUGCUAUCGUUGGGUCUCUACCAUGGCAGGGUGAAGAGGAGAUUUCCUCCCAUCUUCCAUGGAGCCAAUAACCCAGAGCCUGACUCUGUAAGGCUUCAGGACCUGGCUGGGGUCCAUUGAGGAGCUCAGAGAAAGUGACACCAUCAUUAUCUGACUUUAAACCUACUAAAGCUGAGUGGAUUAAAGGCCUGUCUUCCCUCC